rnacentral:rRNA from 1 species
GAUGAACGCUGGCGGCGUGCCUAAUACAUGCAAGUCGAGCGAACAGACGAGGAGCUUGCUCCUCUGACGUUAGCGGCGGACGGGUGAGUAACACGUGGAUAACCUACCUAUAAGACUGGGAUAACUUCGGGAAACCGGAGCUAAUACCGGAUAAUAUAUUGAACCGCAUGGUUCAAUAGUGAAAGACGGUUUUGCUGUCACUUAUAGAUGGAUCCGCGCCGCAUUAGCUAGUUGGUAAGGUAACGGCUUACCAAGGCAACGAUGCGUAGCCGACCUGAGCGGGUGAUCGGCCACACUGGAACUGAGACACGGCCCAGACUCCUACGGGAGGCAGCAGUAGGGAAUCUUCCGCAAUGGGCGAAAGCCUGACGGAGCAACGCCGCGUGAGUGAUGAAGGUCUUCGGAUCGUAAAACUCUGUUAUUAGGGAAGAACAAAUGUGGAAGUAACUAUGCACGUCUUGACGGUACCUAAUCAGAACGCCUCGGCUAACUACGUG